UACGGAGGGGGCUAGCGUUGUUCGGAAUUACUGGGCGUAAAGCGUGAGGAGGCGGCUCGCUAAGUCUGAUGUGAAAGCCCUGAGCUUAACUCAGGAACUGCAUCGGAAACUAGCGGGCUAGAGUUCGGGAGAGGGUCGUGGGAAUUCUUGGUGUAGAGGUGAAAUUCGAUAGAUAUCAAGAGGAACACCGGUGGCGAAGGCGGCGACC
rnacentral:rRNA from 1 species